AACGAACGCUGGCGGCAGGCCUAACACAUGCAAGUCGAGCGCGCCCUUCGGGGUGAGCGGCGGACGGGUGAGUAACGCGUGGGAACGUGCCCUUUUCUACGGAAUAGCCUCGGGAAACUGAGAGUAAUACCGUAUACGCCCUUUGGGGGAAAGAUUUAUCGGAAAAGGAUCGGCCCGCGUUGGAUUAGGUAGUUGGUGGGGUAAUGGCCUACCAAGCCGACGAUCCAUAGCUGGUUUGAGAGGAUGAUCAGCCACACUGGGACUGAGACACGGCCCAGACUCCUACGGGAGGCAGCAGUGGGGAAUCUUAGACAAUGGGGGCAACCCUGAUCGAGCCAUGCCGCGUGAGUGAUGAAGGCCGUAGGGUUGUAAAGCUCUUUCAGCUGGGAAGAUAAUGACGGUACCAGCAGAAGAAGCCCCGGCUAACUCCGUG
rnacentral:rRNA from 1 species